rnacentral:lncRNA from 1 species
CAAUGAUUUCUCAAGUCCUUUUUCCUUUUUUUUUUUUUUGUCAAGGGAGUGUCCUCUAGCUGAGUGAAGUCAUUUUUCCUUGAAUGACUGACAGAAUGGCUUUGGUUCACCUGUAAUUCACAGUUUAGCUGAUCCAGUGUACUGUAAAGUCUGUUUCACUCCACCAGCCAACAAGGAGCAGGCGGCCGUGGUUUUCUCAUGUUCUGGGGGAAGCUGUUUGUCAGUGUUAACCUGGCUAACUUUGGACAGCUGCAACAACAACAUCUAUCCCUUGGCAUAUGGUGUGUUUAGAUGCUAAACACUGCCUCAUCUCGAAGGACUCUCGCCAUGUUGCCCAGACUCAUCUCAAACUACUGGACCCAGACAAUCCUCACACUUUGGCCUCCCAAAAUGCUGAGAUUACAGCUUACCUAAAGUUAACAUCUGAUGACAUGAUCGCAACUCCAUAUCCUGAGUUGAUUUCAACCUAUGAUGUUGGAAUUUUCCACAUGGAGAUAAACACUGGGAAGCAGCUAAUCAUUCUCUCUGGAUUUAUAAGGAACAAAUGGAUAAGUGAAACUUGAAAACAAUGGCCAAAGUACUAAGAACUAAUGUUUCUUCAACAAAACAAAUACUUUUACUUUAAGAACAGAAGAUAAAAGGCCAAAGUUGUAAUAUAAGACAAAUUACGGAAAUAUACACUUAUACAUAUAAAACCACUCCUCUUUUUAAAAAAUCAUGCUUUUUAAGAAGAAUCUUCUCAUAUCAGUGAGAAAGAAAGUUAUCUUAACAAACAAAAAGUAUUUUGAAAAAAAGCGUUCACAUGUAUAAGAAAGAAAAUGAACAAAUAAAUAGGAAAAAAGAUCUCUGGUUCAACCAUAUCAAAGCUUCUUCAUGUUUGUUAUUUUACUCUAAAGGACACCUCCCUGAUCUUGAACUGAUAAUACAGUUAAAAGAAUUAACAGAAAGAGAGAGGGAUAGAAAUGGUCACGUACAGAAUGAAAAAUAAAGGAAAUUUUUUUCUUAUUAUUUUCCUAAUUUGUCUUAAUUCAAAUGAGCAGAAUAGAGUGCUCCAAAUCAGAACUGUGACUCACUAGAACUAAUAUAUUUUGUCAACAUAUUUAUAAUUGAACAUAUCAGUAAUCUUUCAUUUGAACAAUUAAUUGUGUCAGUAAUCAUUUAUCUGCAUAAUAGUUAUAAUUAAUUUGUUACAUUUAUUUAAUUAUUCAUAAUUUAUUACAAAAUGCAACAUCAAGAAUCAUCUAAUAACAAAACUUAUUUGACAGUGUUUGAUAAAUAUGUUUAUGAAUGUCCCACUGAGAUAUGUUAAAAACCACAUUGAUAGCAAAAUUACUUUAAAAUACAUGCUUUAUCAUUAUGGCAAUAGAUGCUGUUUAUGACUCAUCUUGUUUCUAUUCUGUACGACAAACUCUCAGAUCUUCUUUUUUCAAACUUCGAUUUGAUCUCUGAGUUUCUGACUUUCCCCUCUCUCUUUCUUACUUAUUUUUGAAAAAGGACAUUUUGACACUACCAAUAAUGAUAAAAAAAAGAGAG